GGACUCCAGACCGUGGAAAAGCAGAUGGCUGCCCUCCCUUGCACAGACCUGCUCUGGGUAGCAUUGCUGGGACUCUGGGAAGUCAUGAGUACCCACACUCUCUCCUUCCACGGACCUCAGAAGUAUCUGUGAUAGCUUAACUGUUAUGGGCUGAAUCACAUCCCCCCACAAUUCGUAUGUUGAAGUCUUAACUCCCAGGACCCCGGAAUGUAACAUUAUUUGGAUACAGGAUCUUUACAGAUGUAAUCAAAUUAAAAGGAGGUCACCAGGGUGGGUCCUCAUUCAAUAUGACUGGCAUCCUCAUAAGAUUAGGAUACGGACCCACAUAGAGGAACAACCCUGUGAAAAUGUGAGGAGAAGAUGCUGUCUACGAGCCAAGGAAAGAGACUGCAGAAGAACCAGCCCUGCCACACCUUGAUCUCAGACGUCUAGCCUCCAGGACGGUGAAAGAAGAAACAUCUGUUUGUAAGCAGUCCAGUCUGCAGAACUUUCUGGCAGCCAGGUUGUGACAGCCUGUGAGGACCUCUUGGCUCCCGGAGCCUUCUCUCUCCUGGAAUAGAGAUGACACCGUGCUGCCAUUGAACUCAACCCGAAAAAAUGAUCUGUUGCAAAGCUCACAGGAAAUAAUGGAGCAAUGUUACACGAUAAACUGUAAAGUGUGGUGAGCAUGUGAACAAGCGUCCAGGACCCAGCGAAGCCCCAGGCUACUGGGCUAGGCGUCAGAUGAGAAGAGGCAGAGGGCAACCUCCUGUAGGAUCUGAGGCCUUCAUGUGCUCAGCCCAUGGCUGUCGUCACGGUGACGUGUGCAUGCGAUGUAUCUGGGCCAUCCUUGUUCUUGAACGCGGGCAGUGAGUCCCACGGUGAUGUGGCAUGUCACGAGCUGAAGGAGGGGCACCUGCAUUCAGGCUUGCGAACCAGCGAGACAGCCUUUGGACCUUUCGGAGCCUCACUUUCCCACACUAAGAAUUGGAGUGGAAUUCCCAAGGUGCUGGAGGUUGAAAGGCAUUGAGAAUCUAAAACGCUUUGCAGACAGCAAGACCCUCUGUGUAAGUUAAGAAUGCUCACUCAGUCCCAGCAGGUACUCAGAGGGAUCCUUUUAUUUCUCCAGAACAUUCUGCAGGUGAGCUGGGGAAGCCCACUGGCCCUGGCCUCACCCCCGAGCCCGAGCCUUCAGCCUGGGAAUGGUCUGGCCUCUUCCUUGCUGGCUCUCCAGCCUGGCCUCGCAGGACCCUGGGCGGGACCCCAGGAACCCUCACCCGCUAUGUGCUUCCCCAAGAAGCGCUCCCUGUGGCCUAAUUUGAGAAAACAAUGGGCCUCAAUCCAUAUUAAUGACCCUAGAGGGACCCUUUGUCCUCGGUGCACAGGCUGUAAUCAGCGGGGCUCCGGGGGCUCUGGCCUAAUUUGGAGGGACAGGUUUUAUCAUCACCCUUGAUUCGGGUGACCCAAUCUGACAGGCCCACGACCCCCUGUAUGCGGGGUCCACGUCAGAGAUGGGCUUCCUCCCAGC
rnacentral:lncRNA from 1 species